rnacentral:rRNA from 1 species
UACGUAGGGUGCAGGCGUUAAUCGGAAUUACUGGGCGUAAAGCGCACGUAGGCGGAUUGUUAAGUCAGGGGUGAAAUCCUGGAGCUCAACUCCAGAACUGCCUUUGAUACUGGCGAUCUCGAGUCCGGGAGAGGUGAGUGGAACUGCGAGUGUAGAGGUGAAAUUCGUAGAUAUUCGCAAGAACACCAGUGGCGAAGGCGGCUCACUGGCCCGGUACUGACGCUGAGGUGCGAAAGCGUGGGGAGCAAACAGG